GCCUCAGUAACGGCGAGUGAAGCGGCAACAGCUCAAAUUUGAAAUCUGGCCCUCUCGGGGGCCCGAGUUGUAAUUUGUAGAGGGCGCUUUGGCGUUGGCCCUGGCCUAAGUUCCUUGGAACAGGACGUCACAGAGGGUGAGAGCCCCGUACGUGGCCGCGGGUCUUCGCCGUGUAAAGCCCCUUCGACGAGUCGAGUUGUUUGGGAAUGCAGCUCUAAAUGGGAGGUAAAUUUCUUCUAAAGCUAAAUACUGGCCAGAGACCGAUAGCGCACAAGUAGAGUGAUCGAAAGAUGAAAAGCACUUUGGAAAGAGAGUCAAAAAGCACGUGAAAUUGUUGAAAGGGAAGCGCUUGCAGCCAGACUUGCCUGUAGUUGCUCAUCCGGGCGUCAGCCCGGUGCACUCUUCUACGGGCAGGCCAGCAUCAGUUCGGGCGGUCGGAUAAAGGUCUCGGGAAUGUAGCUCCCCUCGGGGAGUGUUAUAGCCCGGGGCGCAAUGCGGCCAGCUCGGACUGAGGUCCGCGCAUCUGCUAGGAUGCUGGCGUAAUGGCUGUAAGCGGCCCGUCUUGAAACACGGACCAAGGAGUCUAACAUCUAUGCGAGUGUUUGGGUGUCAAGCCCGGGCGCGCAAUGAAAGUGAACGGAGGUGGGAACCCCUCGGGGCGCACCAUCGACCGAUCCUGAUGUCUUCGGAUGGAUUUGAGUAAGAGCAUAGCUGUUGGGACCCGAAAGAUGGUGAACUAUGCCUGAAUAGGGUGAAGCCAGAGGAAACUCUGGUGGAGGCUCGCAGCGGUUCUGACGUGCAAAUCGAUCGUCAAAUUUGGGCAUAGGGGCGAAAGACUAAUCGAACU
rnacentral:rRNA from 1 species